ensembl:snoRNA SNORD24 Small nucleolar RNA SNORD24
UGCAAAUGAUGUGAAAGAAUAUUUGCUAUCUUAAUAGCCGUGUUGACAUCCGCCAAGAUCGCUGAUGCA